UGGGGAAUAUUGCGCAAUGGGCGAAAGCCUGACGCAGCGACGCCUCGUGAGGGAUGAAGGUCUUCGGAUCGUAAACCUCUGUCAAGAGGGAAGAAACCCUUGAGUUCGAAUAGGACUCUUGGCUGACGGUACCUCUAAAGGAAGCACCGGCUAACUCCGUGCCAGCAGCCGCGGUAAUACGGAGGGUGCAAGCGUUAAUCGGAAUCACUGGGCGUAAAGCGCUCGUAGGCUGCUUGGUAAGUCAGUUGUGAAAGCCCUCGGCUUAACCGGGGAACUGCAUUUGAUACUGCCAGGCUUGAGUGUCGGAGAGGGUGGCGGAAUUCCAGGUGUAGGAGUGAAAUCCGUAGAUAUCUGGAGGAACACCAGUGACGAAGGCGGCCACCUGGACGACAACUGACGCUGAGGAGCGAAAGCGUGGGUAGCAAACA
rnacentral:rRNA from 1 species